AAGGUAGUCCAGAUUAUCACUAACGUCUCCUGAAAGGUAUGAUGAGUCAUACUGGUUGAAGUUCAUGCUCUCUCCUCCUCUCUUCAGUGUCCCUCCUCCUCUCUUCAGUGUCUCUCCUCCUCUCUUCAUCAUCCCUCCUCCUCUCUUCAGCAUCCCUCCUCCUCUCUUCAGUGUCUCUCCUCCUCUCUUCAGUGUCUCUCCUCCUCUCUUCAUCAUCCCUCCUCCUCUCUUCAGCAUCCCUCCUCUCUUCAGUGUCCCUCCUCCUCCUCCUCUCUUCAGCAUCCCUCCUCCUCUCUUCAGUGUCCCUCCUCCUCCUCCUCCUCCUCUCUUCAGCGUCCCUCCUCCUCCUCUCUUCAGUGUCCCUCCUCCUCUCUUCAGCAUCCCUCCUCUCUUCAUCAUCCCUCCUCCUCCUCCUCCUCCCUUCAGCGUCCCUCCUCCUCCUCCUCCUCCUCUCUUCAGUGUCCCUCCUCCUCUCUUCAGCGUCCCUCCUCCUCCUCUCUUCAUGCUCCCUCCUCCUCUCUUCAGUGUCCCUCCGCCUCCUCCUCUCUUCAUCAUCCCUCCUCCUCCUCUCUUCAGCAUCCCUCCUCCUCUCUUCAUGCUCCAUCCUCCUCUCUUCAGUGUCCCUCCUCCUCCUCCUCCUCUCUUCAUCAUCCCUCCUCCUCCUCUCUUCAUCAUCCCUCCUCCUCCUCUCUUCAGCGUCCCUCCUCCUCCUCUCUUCAGUGUCCCUCCUCCUCCUCCUCUCUUCAGCGUCCCUCCUCCUCCUCUCUUCAGUGUCCCUCCUCCUCCUCCUCCUCUCUUCAUCAUCCCUCCUCCUCCUCUCUUCAGCGUCCCUCCUCCUCCUCUCUUCAUCAUCCCUCCUCCUCCUCUCUUCAGCGUCCCUCCUCCUCCUCCUCUCUUCAGUGUCCCUCCUCCUCCUCCUCCUCUCUUCAGUGUCCCUCCUCCUCCUCUCUUCAGCGUCCCUCCUCCUCCUCCUCUCUUCAGUGUCUCUCCUCCUCUCUUCAGUGUCUCUCCUCCUCUCUUCAGCGUCCCUCCUCCUCUCUUCAGUGUCCCUCCUCCUCCUCUCUUCAGUGUCCCUCCUCCUCUCUUCAGUGUCAGUUAGCAGCUCGAGGACCAGGGAGGACUGUGAUUCUAGUAUAAGCA
rnacentral:lncRNA from 1 species